GACGAACGCUGGCGGCGUGCUUAACACAUGCAAGUCGAACGGAAAGGCCCUGCUUUUGUGGGGUGCUCGAGUGGCGAACGGGUGAGUAACACGUGAGUAACCUGCCCUUGACUUUGGGAUAACUUCAGGAAACUGGGGCUCAUACCGGAUAGGAGCUCCUGCUGCAUGUUGUGGUUUGGAAAGUUUCGGCGGUUGGGGAUGGACUCGCGGCUUAUCAGCUUGUUGGUGGGGUAGUUGCUUACCAAGGCUUUGACGGGUAGCCGGCCUGGGAGGGGGACCGGCCACAUUGGGCCUGCGAUACGGCCCAGACGCCUACGGGAGGCAGCAGUGGGGAAUAUUGCACAAUGGGCGGAAGCCUGAUGCAGCAGCGCCGCGUGCGGGAUGACGGCCUUCGGGUUGUAAACCGCUUUCGCCUGUGACGAAGCGGGAGUGACGGUAAUGGGUAAAGAAGCACCGGCUAACUACGUG
rnacentral:rRNA from 1 species